AAAUUGAAGAGUUUGAUCAUGGCUCAGAUUGAACGCUGGCGGCAGGCCUAACACAUGCAAGUCGAACGGUAACAGGAAGCAGCUUGCUGCUUCGCUGACGAGUGGCGGACGGGUGAGUAAUGUCUGGGAAACUGCCUGAUGGAGGGGGAUAACUACUGGAAACGGUAGCUAAUACCGCAUAACGUCGCAGGACCAAAGAGGGGGACCUUCGGGCCUCUUGCCAUCAGA
rnacentral:rRNA from 1 species